rnacentral:hammerhead_ribozyme from 1 species
AUCCAGCUGAAGAGUCCCAAAGAAGACGAAGUGGCGCGCGUUCUGGAU